rnacentral:snRNA from 1 species
ACACUCUGGUUUCUCUUCAGAACGCAUAAAUCUUUCGCCUUUUACUAAAGAUUUCCGUGGAGAGAAACAAUUCCGAGUUUCUACCCAAUUUUUUGAGGCCUUAAAAAAAAAAAAAU